AUUGAACGCUGGCGGCAUGCCUAACACAUGCAAGUCGAACGAGUGGCGGACGGGUGAGUAAUGUCUGGGAAACUGACUGAUGGAGGGGGAUAACUUCUGGAAACCGUAGCUAAUACCGCAUACUAUCGGAUUUGCCGAGAUGGGAUUAGCUAGUGGGUGGGGUAACGGCUCACGUAGGCAACGAUCCCUAGCUGGUUUGCGGGGGUGACCAGCCACACUGGAACGGAGAAACGGCCCGGACUCCUACGGAAGGAGCCAGUGGGGAAUUUUGGACAAUGGGGGAAAGCCUGAUGCAGCCAUCCCGGGUGUAUGAGGAAGGCCUUGGGGUUGUAAGGUACUUUGAGCGGGGAGGCGGUACCUGCAGAAGAAGCACCGGCUAACUACGUGCCAGCAGCCGCGGUAAUUC
rnacentral:rRNA from 1 species